GAUUUGGUUCGUCACAAGGGCAAUUCUGCAUUUUUUAACUAGUAUUGCACUUGAGACGGCCUGAUU
ensembl:ncRNA mir-312 mir-312 stem loop